rnacentral:rRNA from 1 species
UGGAUAGUGGCGAAAGGGUUAGUAAUGGAUAGGUAACGUACCCUCCGCUUCGGAAUAGCGUCGGUUGCUUCGGCAACCUUCCGAAAGGGGCAAUAAUACCGAAUAAUAUUACUUGUCGAUGGGCAAGUAAUCAAAGAUUUAUCGACAGAGGAGCGGCCUAUCUCUUAUCAGCUUGUUGGUGAGGUAAUGGCUCACCAAGGCUAUGACGGGUAGCGGGACUGAGAGGUUGACCCGCAACAUCGGGACUGAGACACUGCCCGGACCUCCACGGAGGGCUGCAGUAACGAAUAUUGCGCAAUGGGCCAAAGCCUGACGCAGCGACGCCGCGUGCGGGAGGAAGUCCCUCGGGAUGUAAACCGCUGUCAGGGAGAAGAAAGUCCGCUUCGGCGGAUUGAUCAAUCCCAAAGGAAGUCACGGCUAACUUCGUGCCAGCAGCCGCGGUAAGACGAAGGUGGCAAGCGUUGUUCGGUAUCACUGGGCUUAAAGAGUGUGUAGGCGGAAAGGUAAGCGUCCUGUGAAAGCCCCCGGCUUAACCGGGGAAUUGCGCGACGAACUGUCUUUCUUGAGCCAAGUAGGGGUGCACGGAACUGUUGGUGGAGCGGUGGAAUGCGUAGAUAUCAACAGGAACGCCGGUGGAGAAAUCGGUGCACUGGGCUUGUGCUGACGCUGAGACACGAAAGCGUGGGGAGCGAACGGGAUUAGAUACCCCGGUAGUCCACGCCGUAAACGAUG